GCUUGGGGUCUAGCUAGACGAUAUAUCUUGAAAUUGAUGGUGUAGGAGACAAGUUCGGAUUCUUCAUAUCCAAAAAUCUUUUACAUGUUUUUUUAAAAAGAUGAAUUACUAUCGUACAAAUGUAUCGGUCAAAGGCAAACUUAUCAAACGCGAAUAGCAGAACCGCAACCGCAAUAAACGCUAAUGUAGAAAAUGUUCCAUUGCCCCCAAAGAAAAAAUAAACGACAAACAGACUCAACUAGAUAAACCCAAUUAGUCGAAAUUAGUUUCAAAACGUUUAUUUUUCUCCCUACUUUUCAUGCUUUC